UACAGAGGGGGCAAGCGUUGUUCGGAAUUACUGGGCGUAAAGGGCGCGUAGGCGGCCGCCUAAGUCAGACGUGAAAUCCCUCGGCUCAACCGGGGAACUGCGUCUGAUACUGGGUGGCUUGAAUCCGGGAGAGGGAUGCGGAAUUCCGGGUGUAGCGGUGAAAUGCGUAGAUAUCUGGAGGAACACCGGUGGCGAAGGCGGCAUCCUGGACCGGUAUUGACGCUGAGGCGCGAAAGCCAGGGGAGCAAACGGG
rnacentral:rRNA from 1 species